rfam:Triticum aestivum genome assembly, contig: Triticum_aestivum_CS42_TGACv1_scaffold_569072_7AS
CAUGUACUCCCUCCGUCCGAAAAUACUGUUGGAAGAAUGAAUGUAUCUAGAUGUAUUUUAGUUUUAGAUACAUCCACUUUUAUCUAUUUCUCCGACGAGUAAUUCUGGACGGAGGGAGCAUAUG